rnacentral:rRNA from 1 species
GAUGAACGCUGGCGGCGUGCCUAAUACAUGCAAGUCGAGCGAACAGACGAGGAGCUUGCUCCUCUGACGUUAGCGGCGGACGGGUGAGUAACACGUGGAUAACCUACCUAUAAGACUGGGAUAACUUCGGGAAACCGGAGCUAAUUCCGGAUAAUAUAUUGAACCGCAUGGUUCAAUAGUGAAAGACGGUUUUGCUGUCACUUAUAGAUGGAUCCGCGCCGCAUUAGCUAGUUGGUAAGGUAACGGCUUACCAAGGCAACGAUGCGUAGCCGACCUGAGAGGGUGAUCGGCCACACUGGAACUGAGACACGGUCCAGACUCCUACGGGAGGCAGCAGUGGGGAAUCUUCCGCAAUGGGCGAAAGCCUGACGGAGCAACGCCGCGUGAGUGAUGAAGGUCUUCGGAUCGUAAAACUCUGUUAUUAGGGAAGAACAAAUGUGUAAGUAACUAUGCACGUCUUGACGGUACCUAAUCAGAAAGCCACGGCUAACUACGUG